AACUAAACAUAAUGGUCUUAUGGUCUCGUUCUGUGGUCUCGUUGCCGAGAAGUUCUCUUGUUAAUUUCCUGUGCUACUUUGUUAGGAUUUGUAGCUUACAAGAUCAUCGAGUAGUGCGAGCGUCGACAUUCUACUGUAAAAACUUCCAGAGCCAUUGUGUGUUUUGGAUAGAGCCGAUAUGAUAAAAAGUUUGUGGAUAAUGUUCGUUGAUAAAUUGCAAUGUGUUAAUGCUGAUCGACUUUGUCAUACUAACUCAUACUCAUACUAAGAGAUGCAAGCAACAAUAACAAGUUUCCUGAAGAAUGUUCCAGUCGGACAGUUGGAAACAAUUAUGUCUGUAUAAGUUGUGGAAUAUCUUUGGGAAGGCACUCACGAAGAUAAAAUCACAGGCCAUGGGCUUAUGGAAAGAAGUGAAGAGUGGUAUUAUAUAGAAAAACAAUCUCCGAGAUAGAUGCCUGAUGGAUGCCCAUGUAUGCAUUGUUUGCAGGAUGAGCUCACCUCAAAAGCAUUAAUAUCUAGCGAACAUAAAAGCUGUGUUAGGUGUGUUGUUGCAAUGUAUAUAGUUCUAUUUAUUAACCCCUGACUCGAAAACAACGGGGUGUUAUAAGUUUGAAGUGUGUGUAUGUGUCUGUCUGUGGCAUCGUAGCUCCCAAACGGAUGAUCCAAUUUUAAUAUGUUUUUUUUUUGUUUGUAAGUUAUAUUAGUCGAGAGUGUUCUUAGCUAUGUUUGGUAGAAAUCGGUUCAGGUCUUCAAGGUCAUCAGAAAUGUUUGUUAAGUGUGAUAGGAAUGUUACACGCUCAGUUUGCUUGCAAGCAUAGGUAUGUGGGAUAACUUAUUUUUUGCUUUUUAUAGGGUUUUUAAUUUUUUCACCUUUUUUCAUAAUAAUUGAAUACUUUUGUUUUGUCGGGUUUUUUUUUUGUUCCAAGAUGUUGGUAAAUUAUAAGUUUAUAUCACUUUAUAAUUAUAAUUUAUAUUAUUAAAUCAUUAAAUAGAUAAAAACCUGUGUAUAUUUUUAUGUUAUGUUAUUGUUAAGUUUAUUCUCUACCUACUUACUUACUAAUAUGUUACCAUAUUAAGUCUGUUCAAAAAUCAUAAAUAGGUACUUGUUCUUCAUCUAUCAUGUAGGUUGUGAAGUGGAUGACCAACCUCAUCAACCAGAGUUAUUGCUGCGCCGCCAAUGUCGUUGGAUCAGCCAGCCAUGUCCUAACUGAACCAAGGAUCACAAAGAAAUUUUUGUGUUUUGUCUCCACCGGGACUUGAACCUGGGACCUCCGGAAUGUCAGCCACUGGACAACAUAGGCCGAGAGUAUAUGGUUAAGUUGCUGUAUUAUUUCAACUAUUUAAUUAAAUGUAGGAAUAUUUUGUA
rnacentral:lncRNA from 1 species